CUCUCACGCUGGCUUGAACACGCCCUCUCUCUCUGCUCCCUACUUGUUCCACACAACUCCUUCAGCAGCGGAUCUGGCAGCAGUACACAAUUUGUGUCUUUUUGCGUGUCCUAGCGCCACAGCGUGAUUGUUCGCGGUGAGGUGCAUGUCCGACAGCACCUCACCCACUACCUCUGCGGCCCAGCAUGGGACGCUUCAAUUCUCAUUGGAGGAGCUGGCAGCAGGCGGCAUUGCCGGCUUCGCGGAGCACUUCGUGAUGUUUCCCUGCGACACCAUUAAGACGCGCAUGCAGGGCGGGGGUGCGCUAAGUAUCGGCCACGUCGUGAGACACUUGUGGAACCACGAGCGGCUAACACACCUCUAUCGCGGAUGCGUGCCGGUGCUCGUGUCAGCGAUUCCAGCGCAUGGUGCGUACUUCGGCGUGUACGAGGCCCUCAAGCGCCUCUUUGGCGACGACACCAACAUGGGCAUCGCCGCUGCGGCUUCGUUUUCCACGGCUGCCCACGACACGGUGUCCACGCCGUUCGACGUGAUUAAGCAACGUAUGCAAAUGGACAAGCAGCGCUGCUUUAGUAGCUCUGUAGAUUGUGCCCGGCGAAUUGUGCGAACCGAAGGCGUCGGGGCCCUUUUCGCUUCUUUGCCAACGACGGUGAUAAUGAAUAUUCCCCACUUUUCGGCCUACUGGCUCGCCUACGAGGGUUUCCUCGCGUCUCGUGGGCAUGGCAACGUGCGCAACCGCCAUGACGAGAUGACGGUGGACUACAUGGCCGCUGGCUUUGUUGCAGGCACGUGCGCGGCGGUUGUCUCAUUUCCCUUUGACACGGUCAAAACACAUCUUCAGCUCGGCCACGGGAUGGGCUUCCGCCACACACUGAGCGAGCUGAUCCAGCUACGGGGAAUGCGCGGCGUCUACUCGGGCGUUGUGCCGCGAAUCCUCUACACGGCUCCCUCUGGCGCCAUCAUGAUGGUGACGUACGAAACCGUGAAGAGCGCGCUUGCAUCCGACAAGAGUCUCUUGUGAGGUACGUGUGUGGGAGUGUGAGAAGGCAGAGGCAGCGGACGCAAAGUGCUUGCGGGGGAGUGGAGAGUCAGCCCCCUAUCUCACCUGCUACGCAUGCCACGCGACACCAAGAGAAGGCGUCGAGCAGCUUUACUGGAAGUGAAGAAUUCUCCUUCAGCAGCGUCCACGGGGGUCAUGGCUCGCGGAGCGCUUUCAGCCUACAACCUUGCGUCUCGCCGAAUAAUCUUCAUCAAAGGCUUCCAUUCGCUUUUAGCCUUCCUCGUUGGGCCGUAGCAUGCUCCAGGAACACACACACUCACAAGCAGACGACGACGUAUGCUACUAACAUUUCAUUGUCUUUACCAACCUGUCCCUCCACCCGAGGCAACUCGAUAAACACACGUGCACCACACAACCACAGUUCGCCUACCUCUGUUGCACUACGCCCACAUCCCGGUUCGUCUAGGACGAGCCACACCGCCCAUGAAUCGGGCCGCGCGCCCAGCCGGCUCUGCAUGUCCUCUUGCGUCCCCCUUUCCUCCUUCGGCUACGCGCUGCGCGGUCGGCGCCCGGCGGAGGCGGUGGUGUCUGACGUGCGGGGUAGCAGGGAGUGGUCUAGGUGCAUGCCGGAUGUACUCAAGGGGAACGCUGGCCAGCCGCAUCUCGGGGCCCGCUGCGCUCCCGUGCCCCGCCUGCAUGCCGUGCUGCUCCCUCAGCCGCUUCAAGCCGCUGCAUUCGAUAGCAUGGCGUGGCGACUCUCCGCAUCGCAGCCUGGGAGGGGGGGUUCCAUGGUGUGGCUCAGGGUCUUCCCGUCAUGCCUCCGGCGCCUGUAGCUCAUCCGCCCAGCCGGCCGGGGGUAGGGGGUGCCGCCUGCUUGCGCAGCACAUGCGCUUGGGCGUUGUUUGGUUUGCAUCUCUUCGCGCCUCUUCGAUCCAUCACUCCUGCUCUGCUGACCUCUGCAUGCCUUGCCUGGGUGUGAUCCACCAUGCUAG
rnacentral:misc_RNA from 1 species